UGGGGAAUAUUGGACAAUGGGCGCAAGCCUGAUCCAGCAAUGCCGCGUGAGUGAAGAAGGUCUUCGGAUUGUAAAGCUCUUUCGACGGGGACGAUGAUGACGGUACCCGUAGAAGAAGCCCCGGCUAACUUCGUGCCAGCAGCCGCGGUAAUACGAAGGGGGCUAGCGUUGCUCGGAAUGACUGGGCGUAAAGGGCGCGUAGGCGGUGAACACAGUUAGGCGUGAAAUUCCCGGGCUCAACCUGGGGGCUGCGCUUAAUACAUGUUCGCUUGAGUUCGGAAGAGGGUCGUGGAAUUCCCAGUGUAGAGGUGAAAUUCGUAGAUAUUGGGAAGAACACCGGUGGCGAAGGCGGCGACCUGGUCCGAUACUGACGCUGAGGCGCGAAAGCGUGGGGAGCAAACAGG
rnacentral:rRNA from 1 species